rnacentral:rRNA from 1 species
UACGUAGGGUGCAAGCGUUGUCCGGAAUCAUUGGGCGUAAAGAGCGUGUAGGCGGUUCAGUAAGUCUGCUGUGAAAGUCCAGGGCUCAACCCUGGGAUGCCGGUGGAUACUGCUGGGCUAGAGUACGGAAGAGGCGAGUGGAAUUCCCGGUGUAGCGGUGAAAUGCGCAGAUAUCGGGAGGAACACCUAUUGCGAAGGCAGCUCGCUGGGACGUUACUGACGCUGAGACGCGAAAGCGUGGGGAGCAAACAGG